GAUCAGAGCCAGAAAGGAAGGAAGAGAGAGGGGGAGAGAGAGAAAGAGAAAGAAAGAAGGAAAGAAGGAAAGGGAGAGAGAUCCGUCCAAACCAUCGACAUUUUGGAGAAACCCCAAGUUCUGGUUGUUUUCUGGCUUGAUGGUAGUUGAAAGAAGUGUUAAGGAUGUUGAGAUGAAGCCGCUGUCAAAAUUUGGUGACCAUCGGAGGAGUUGGCAGACGAGUGAACAGUGCCGACGAGUGAAUAGUCGGGUGACGUAUUGAAUUAUUAUUUGGUGAAGGAACUCGUACGCGUGAACGACUAAAUAGUACUUUUGCAGGCGAAUUAGUUGAGGUCGGGCGUACACGAAAUUGAGGCAUAGUCAGCAGCAUGGCUUCCGCAUCUGCCUUUGAAUUAGGUUUUCCUCAUAUACCUUUCUGUUUGAAUUGCUCUGAUUACCUAUGGGAUUUAUGUUAUUCAAGUUGAGAUAUGUGUUUUGUGAAUUGGAGAUUGAUGUUGAUUUGGGGAGCAGGGUGGCUCCAGGAGCAUAAGGAUGAUUCGAUUGAGAAGUGUAAAUGUUCCCUACAGGUUUGGGUUGCCCAUUUUAGGGGAAGUUCCGCCAAAUUUUUUGUAGAAUUUCUUCUAAGGUGGGCCCCGCAGGGUCACUUCGGAUUUCAGGGUGAAAUCCGGGGCGGGUCCUGUCAGACAUAUUGCAGCUAUAAAUGUAUCAUCUACACUCGAAGGGCGCUAUACCGAGUUACCGCUCGACGAAGAAACCCGUAUGCGUGGUCGCCUAAAUAGUACUUUUGCAGGCGAAAUUAGUUGAGGUCGGGCGUACACGGGUUGAUGCAUAGUUGUCACUGCUUCCGCAUUGUAGGAUCUAUUGAUCCUUCACCUUCUUUACUUUUAUUUCUAUUAUACCUUUUGUUUUAGAAUUGCUCUGAUAACCUAUGGGAUUAAUGUUAUUAAGUUGAGUUUUGUGUAAUGUGAAUUGGAAGAUGUUGUGAUUUGGGGAGCAGGAUGGCUCCAAGAGA